rnacentral:rRNA from 1 species
AUUAGGUAAGACCUGCCCAAUGUUUUUAUCAAUGGCCGCGGUAUUUUGACCGUGCGAAGGUAGCAUAAUCAUUAGUCUCUUAAUUAGAGGCUGGUAUGAACGGUUWAACGAGAAARKARCUGUCUCUYAYKWAAKAYUKGAAUUUUAUUUUUARGUGAAAAAGCYUAAAUWAAUCUGRAGGACGAUAAGACCCUAUAGAGCUUUAUUUCCUACGAAUAUAAUUUAUACUAGAACAAAAAUUUAAUAUUUUAAAGAAAUUUUGUUGGGGCGACAAUAAGACAAAAAGUAACUCUUAUUUAUUUUUACAUUUAUAGAUGAUUUAUUGAUCCUUACAGAAAGAUCAUAAGAACAAGUUACCUUAGGGAUAACAGCGUAAUCCUUUUUAAGAGUUCAYAUCGACAAAAGGGUUUGCGACCUCGAUGUUGGAUUAAGARUUUGCYRRGGUGUAGCAGYUUYRGUAAAAGGUCUGUUCGACCUUUAAUAUCUUACAUGAUCUGAGUUCA